AACGCGAAGAACCUUACCAGGUCUUGACAUCCCACUGACCGGUUUAGAGAUAAGCCUUUCCCUUCGGGGACAGUGGUGACAGGUGUGCAUGGUUGUCGUCAGCUCGUGUCGUGAGAUGUUGGGUUAAGUCCCGCAACGAGCGCAACCCUUGAUCUUAGUUGCCAGCAUUCAGUUGGGCACUCUAAGGUGACUGCCGGUGACAAACCGGAGGAAGGUGGGGAUGACGUCAAAUCAUCAUGCCCCUUAUGACCUGGGCUACACACGUGCUACAAUGGACGAUACAAAGGGCUGCAAACCCGCGAGGGGGAGCCAAUCCCAUAAAAUCGUUCUCAGUUCGGAUUGUAGGCUGCAACUCGCCUACAUGAAGCCGGAAUCGCUAGUAAUCGUGGAUCAGCAUGCCACGGUGAAUACGUUCCCGGGUCUUGUACACACCG
rnacentral:rRNA from 1 species